AUUGAACGCUGGCGGCAGGCCUAACACAUGCAAGUCGAACGAGUGGCGGACGGGUGAGUAAUGUCUGGGAAACUGCCUGAUGGAGGGGGAUAACUACUGGAAACGGUAGCUAAUACCACAUACCAUCGGAUGUGCCCAGAUGGGAUUAGCUAGUAGGUGGGGUAAUGGCUCACCUGGGCGACGAUCCCUAGCUGGUCUGAGAGGAUGACCAGCCAAACUGUAACUGAGACACGGUCCAGACUCCUACGGGAGGAAGCAGUGGGGAAUAUUGCACAAUGGGCGCACGCCUGAUGCAGCCAUGCCGCGUGUGUGAAGAAGGCCUUCGGGUUGUAAAGUACUUUCAGCGGGGAGGCGUUACUCGCAGAAGAAGCACCGGCUAACUCCGUGCCAGCAGCCGCGGUAAUAC
rnacentral:rRNA from 1 species